CCUACGGGGGGCAGCAGUGGGGAAUAUUGCACAAUGGGCGCAAGCCUGAUGCAGCCAUGCCGCGUGUGUGAAGAAGGCCUUCGGGUUGUAAAGCACUUUCAGCGGGGAGGAAGGCGGUGAGGUUAAUAACCUCAUCGAUUGACGUUACCCGCAGAAGAAGCACCGGCUAGCUCCGUGCCAGCAGCCGCGGUAAUACGGAGGGUGCAAGCGUUAAUCGGGAUUACUGGGCGUAAAGCGCACGCAGGCGGUCUGUCAAGUCGGAUGUGAAAUCCCCGGGCUCAACCUGGGAACUGCAUUCGAAACUGGCAGGCUAGAGUCUUGUAGAGGGGGGUAGAAUUCCAGGUGUAGCGGUGAAAUGCGUAGAGAUCUGGAGGAAUACCGGUGGCGAAGGCGGCCCCCUGGACAAAGACUGACGCUCAGGUGCGAAAGCGUGGGGAGCAAACAGGAUUAGAUACCCCAGUAGUC
rnacentral:rRNA from 1 species